UCCGUAGGCGGGCAGCUAAGUCAGUGGUGAAAGUCUGCAGCUCAACUGUAGAAUUGCCAUUGAUACUGGUUGUCUUGAAUUAUUAUGAAGUGGUUAGAAUAUGUAGUGUAGCGGUGAAAUGCAUAGAUAUUACAUAGAAUACCAAUUGCGAAGGCAGAUCACUAAUAAUAUACUGACACUGAGGGACGAAAGCGUGGGGAGCGAACAGGAUUAGAUACCCUGGUAGUCC
rnacentral:rRNA from 1 species